rnacentral:rRNA from 1 species
UUUUUUUUUUGGGAAUAAAUUUAACAAAGUUUCCGUAGGUGACCUGCGGAAGGAUCAUUACUGAGUACCGGGUCUCUCAGGCCCUUACUCCCACCCUUUUGUGUACCCUUACCACAUUCUUCAGUUGCCUUGGCGGGACUCUCCCCCCUCGGACCCCCUAAAACCGGGUCCUUGGGCGGGUGCCCGCCAAGGGAACCCCCCAAAACUCUUUUGAAUUGGGUUGUCUGAGAACAAAACAUAAUAAAUUAAAACUUUCAACAACGGAUCUCUUGGUUCUGGCAUCGAUGAAGAACGCAGCGAAAUGCGAUAAGUAAUGUGAAUUGCAGAAUUCAGUGAAUCAUCGAAUCUUUGAACGCACAUUGCGCCCUUUGGUAUUCCGAGGGGCAUGCCUGUUCGAGCGUCAUUUCAACCCUCAAGCUUCUGCUUGGUAUUGGGCUCUCGUCCGCUUACUGGACGUGCCUGAAACUCAUAGGCGGUUGUGCUCAGCUCCUUAGCGUAGUCAUUUCUUACCGCUCUGGAGGACUGGGUAUGGCCCGCCCGAGAACCCCCAUAUUUCUCAAGUUUUGACCUCGGAUCAGGUAGGGAUACCCGCUGAACUUAAGCAUAUCAAUAAGCGGAGGAAAAGAAACCAACAGGGAUUGCCUCAGUAACGGCGAGUGAAGCGGCAACAGCUCAAAUUUGAAAUCUGGCUUCGGUCCGAGUUGUAAUUUGUAGAGGAUGCUUCGGCUUAUGUACCGGUCUAAGUUCCUUGGAACAGGACGUCACAGAGGGUGAGAAUCCCGUUUGUGGCCGGCACUUCCGCCAUGUGAAGCUCCUUCGACGAGUCGAGUUGUUUGGGAAUGCAGCUCUAAAUGGGAGGUAAAUUUCUUCUAAAGCUAAAUACCGGCCAGAGACCGAUAGCGCACAAGUAGAGUGAUCGAAAGAUGAAAAGCACUUUGGGAAAGAGAGUUAAAAAGUACGUGAAAUUGUUGAAAGGGAAGCGCUUUGCGACCAGACUUGCCCGCGGAUGCUCAAACCGGUCCUUCGGCCGGGUGCAACUCUUUCCGCGGGGUCAGGCCAGCAAUCAGUUUCGGGCGGUCGGAUAAAGGCCUUGGGAAUGUGGCUCCUCUUCGGGGAGUGUUAUAGCCCUUGGUGCAAUACGGCCCGCCUGGGACUGGAGGCCCGCGCUUUCGGCAGAUGCGCAAUCUGGCGUAGGCCUAACGCCCCUUUUUAAAAACCGAAAAAAA